rnacentral:rRNA from 1 species
GGCCAGACUCCUACGGGAGGCAGCAGUGGGGAAUAUUGCACAAUGGGGGAAACCCUGAUGCAGCGACGCCGCGUGAGUGAAGAAGUAUUUCGGUAUGUAAAGCUCUAUCAGCAGGGAAGAAAAUGACGGUACCUGACUAAGAAGCCCCGGCUAACUACGUGCCAGCAGCCGCGGUAAUACGUAGGGGGCAAGCGUUAUCCGGAUUUACUGGGUGUAAAGGGAGCGUAGACGGCAUGGCAAGUCAGAUGUGAAAGCCCGGGGCUCAGCCCCGGGACUGCAUUUGAAACUGUCAGGCUGGAGUGCAGGAGAGGUAAGUGGAAUUCCUAGUGUAGCGGUGAAAUGCGUAGAUAUUAGGAGGAACACCAGUGGCGAAGGCGGCUUACUGGACUGUAACUGACGUUGAGGCUCGAAAGCGUGGGGAGCAAACAGGAUUAGAUACCCCAGUA